CUUACUUUAUCAGAAUCCGUUGCUCCCCAAGCGAAACAGGUGCACAAUUGGGAGAAAAAUCCCUCCAAAGUUGGAUAUUUUCGCGCUUCGAAACACUCGAACCGCCAUUAUUUUGGUAGCAAAUACGCAUGCGCAACUCAGCCAAACUCGCACUGCGCACGCGCAGACUAUAAAAAUAGAUUCUCACUGGGGGGUUUCCCCGAUUUC